rnacentral:SRP_RNA from 1 species
GCUGGGCACGGUGGUGUGUGCCUGUAGGCCUAGCUAUUCAGGAGGCUGAGACAGGAGGAUCACUUGAGUCCAACAGUUCUGAGUUGUGGUGUGCUAUACUGAUACGGUGUCUAUACUAAGUUCUACAUCAAUAUGCUGACCUUCUGGGAGUGGAGGACCACCAGGUUACCUAAAGAAGGGUGAACUAGCCCAGGUCAGAAGGAAGUAGGUCAAACUCCCCUGCUGAUCAGUAGUGAGCUUACACUUGUGAAUACUAACUGGACUCCAGUCUAGGCAACACAGUGAGAUCCGGA